rnacentral:lncRNA from 1 species
GUUUGAGUCAAGUAGGUCACAUGACCAAGGAGCUAUUGAAAUUCGAAUGUAAAAAAAGUUUGUACUUUGUUUUAUGCUCCCUAACUAAUUCAACUAGGAAUACAAAAUUCUGCUCACAUUUCCACAUGUUUAUUAGCUUUGGAAAGCGAAUUAAUCUCAAAACCGUGAAAAUAAGACCUGUGCAAUGUUGUGCGCAAUUUUUCCAACAUCAUGGCACUUAUUUGGAGUCUGUGGCUCAAGUGGUUUGAAAGCGCGAAUAUCCAACUUGAAACGGUCUUUACCUCGGUUGACUUUACUCGCAUAAAAACUGUGGAUAGUAACGUGGUUAGGCUACUAUCACCUAAAGUGUUGGAUGACUUUCGAGAUAAAAAAAUUAAUUCACUUACUAAGAAGAUCCCUCCCUGCACCUUGCGUGUGGUGGGAACAGUGUCGUUUCGACGCAUUGUCCUCUCCGAAAUUAGGAAGCUGAGAUGUGUCUGGGGUUGCUGAACAGUUGGACUAAAUAUUAUUCUGGUCCUUUUUGACCAGUUUGAUGUUGUCACAAUGCGUUUGUCUCAGACCAUUCAGCACGGCAUUUUGUCAGGCUACACUUUUAUGACGUAAUGUUAUAUUCUACUAGCAAUUAAAAAAAUAUUGGUCAUGGAUAAAUAUUUGGUCAUUUUAGUCGUUGAUUUUGGCCGGUUAGGCUGCUUAAAACAACUCCCCUCAUCACCCCCAGGCAGGCGCAUAUUAAGUUAUGAGCAAUGGGUGACUGUAGGCUACUAGUGUCAUUACAGACAUGAUAACUAACAGGUGGACUCUCUUCUAAGGUAGCUCAAAUGCAUUAUGAAAGCCUUAUCUAGUAGCCCACCUAUCUAAUAACAAGCGUUUGAACAUCUUUGCCAUGUUCUGUUAUAAUCUCCACCAGGCACAGCCAGAAGAGGACUGGCCACCCCGCAUAGCCUGGUUCCUCUCUAGGUUUCUUCCUAGGUUUUGGCCUUUCUAGGGAGUUUUUCCUAGCCACCGUGCUUCUACACCUGCAUUGCUUGCUGUUUGGUGUUUCAGGCUGGGUUUCUGUACAGCACUUUGAGAUAUCAGCUGAUGUAAGAAGGGCUUUAUAAGUAAAUUAUAUUUGAUUUAAAAACGAAGGAACUGGUUUCUUAUUUGGUGUAAAUGUCAAUGAUAAUUGCCACAUUUUUAUUUUAUUUAACCUUUAUUUAACCAGGUAGGGUAGCUGAGAACAAGUUCUCAUUUGCAACUGCGACCUGGCCAAGAUAAAGCAAAGCAGUUCGACACAUACAAC